AUUGAACGCUGGCGGAAUGCUUUACACAUGCAAGUCGAACGGCAGCACGGACUUCGGUCUGGUGGCGAGUGGCGAACGGGUGAGUAAUGUAUCGGAACGUGCCCAGUCGUGGGGGAUAACGUAGUGAAAAUUACGCUAAUACCGCAUACGAUCUAUGGAUGAAAGCGGGGGAUCGCAAGACCUCGCGCGCUUGGAGCGGCCGAUAUCAGAUUAGGUAGUUGGUGGGGUAAAGGCCCACCAAGCCAACGAUCUGUAGCUGGUCUGAGAGGACGACCAGCCACACUGGAGAUGAAGCGCGGUCCAGACUCCUACGGGAGGCAGCAGUGGGGAAUUUUGGACAAUGGGCGAAAGCCUGAUCCAGCCAUUCCGCGUGCAGGAUGAAGGCCCUCGGGUUGUAAACUGCUUUUGUACAGAACGAAAAGGUUUCUACUAAUACUAGGAGCUCAUGACGGUACUGUAAGAAUAAGCACCGGCUAACUACGUGCCAGCCGCCGCCGUAA
rnacentral:rRNA from 1 species